rnacentral:rRNA from 1 species
AAUAAACGCUGGCGGCGUGCUUAACACAUGCAAGUCGAGCGAGAAAGUUCCUUCGGGAAUGAGUAAAGCGGCGGACGGGUGAGUAACGCGUGGGAACCUGCCCUUCAGUGAGGAAUACUCUCGAGAAAUCGAGCUUAAUACUGCAUACGUCCCUCCGGGGAGAAAGGUGGCUUUAUGCUGCCGCUGAAGGAUGGGCCCGCGUGCUAUUAGCUUGUUGGUGAGGUAAAGGCUUACCAAGGCGAUGAUGGUUAACCGGGCUGAGAGGGUGUACGGUCACAUUGGAACUGAGACACGGUCCAGACUCCUACGGGAGGCAGCAGUGGGGAAUAUUGCGCAAUGGGCGAAAGCCUGACGCAGCGACGCCGCGUGAAGGAUGAAGGUCUUCGGAUUGUAAACUUCUGUUAAGUGGGAAGAAAGCCUUGUAGUUAAUAGCUGCAGGGAAUGACGGUACCACUGGAGAAAGCACCGGCUAACUUCGUGCCAGCCGCCGCCGUAA